rfam:Asian citrus Psyllid, Diaphorina citri - Florida Strain, whole genome shotgun sequence.
GAUAGCAGUAUAGCACGUUGAAUACUCCAGUUGCCAAUGGGUCACUGAAGUUAAGCAACGUUCAGCAUGGUUGGAAUCCGGAGGGGGACCAUCUGAGUCAUGGCAUACUGCUGGCU